rnacentral:lncRNA from 1 species
AUAUAGAUAGAGAUAAACUGUAAACAGCAAUAAUGUUUUCAAAGUAAGAUCUACAAAUAAGUCGACAUUGCUAAAAUGGUCAAUUGACCCCUUAAGGAGUUAUUGCCCUUUAUAGUCAAUUUCUAACAAUUUUUCGUAAAUUUUUAUAAUCUUUUAAAAAGUCUUAAAAAACUACUGGACCAAAUUUUAACAAAAAAUGGCCACAAUCAUAAUUAGGAUAUCUUGUUUCAUAAAUAUGUGUGAUGACCCAGCCAACCAACCAAGAUAGCCACCAUGGCUAAAAAUAGAACAUAGGGGUAAAAUGUAGAUUUUGGCUUAUAACUCUGAAACCAAAGCAUUUAGAGCAAAUCUGACAAGGGGUUCAAUUGUUUAUCAAGUCAAUAUCUAUCUGCCCUGAAAUUUUCAGAUGAAGUGGACAACCAGUUGUUGGGUUGCUGCCCCCCAAUUGGUAAUUUAAAAAAAAAUAUGCCAUUUUUGGUUAUUAUCUUGAAUACUAUUAUAGAUAGAGAUAAAUUGUAAACAGCAAUAAUGUUCAGCAAAGUAAGAUCUACAAAUAAGUCAACAUGACCAAAAUGGUCAGUUGACCCUUAAGGAGUUAUUGCCCUUCAUAGUCAAUUUUUAUGAUAGUCAAUUUUUAUGAAUUUUCAUUAAUUUGGUAAAUUUUUAUAAAUUUUUACAAAAUAUUUUCCUCUAACUAAAGGGCCAAGUUUAUUAUAGAUAGAGAAAAUUGUAAGUAGCAAGAAUGUUCAGUAAAGUAAGAUCUACAAACACAUCACCAUCAUCAAAACACAAUUUUGUCAUGAAUACAUCUGUGUCCUUUGUUUAAUACAUGUAUGCACAUAGACCAAGGUGAGUGACACAGGCUCUUAAGAGCCUCUACUUUAUAUAUUCUGUUGUUGUUAUAUUAUGGAUAUUUUAUUAUUGACUUAUCUAUUUUUAUUUUUAUUUUAUUGAUGUAAAUUGAAUGAUUUAUUUUGUAGCCUAGUAUUUACAAUGUGUAAUAUUUUUAUAUAUUUUAUAUUAUGGACAUUUUAAAAUUGAUUUAUUUUUUGUUAUUAUUGGUUUUAUUUAUGCACA